CUUUACCAUCGUAUACGGUCUCACGUCACGUGACAUUGCGAUGCACCGAGUAGUAUCGAGGAUGAAAAUAAAUACAUUCGAAUUACGCUUCGAGGGAGUAAAGUCGUCUAGAGCUUCACCGUGACUUCAAGGCAGAUUUAUAAUUUCAUUUUUAGUUUGGACAGAAACGUUAUACCAAGAUGUAACGAGAACUGGCGUUAAAGCUAAUUGGAAUGUAGAGAAACCUAUGAUACCAACCAAGCAAAUCACCAUGCCACGGGUCUUUAACAUGAAAAUUUAUGAAUAACGACGAACACGCGCGAAGUUCGGGAUACCUUCUAAAGAUAGGUCCAGCUUUUUUUCUCUUCUUUGCCGCUCGACAGAUAUUCAUAGAAGAUCUAUGUAUAAGAUCAGUUCACGCAACACGUGACAUUCGCAUUUAAAAAUCAAAC